rnacentral:rRNA from 1 species
GACGAACGCUGGCGGCGUGCUUAACACAUGCAAGUCGAACGGUGAACCUCUUCGGAGGGGAUCAGUGGCGAACGGGUGAGUAACACGUGGGCAACCUGCCCCCGGCUCUGGGAUAACUCCAAGAAAUUGGGGCUAAUACCGGAUGUUCACCGCUUCCCGCAUGGGUGGUGGUGGAAAGGGUUUCCGGCUGGGGAUGGGCCCGCGGCCUAUCAGCUUGUUGGUGGGGUAGUGGCCUACCAAGGCGACGACGGGUAGCCGGCCUGAGAGGGUGACCGGCAACACUGGGACUGAGACACGGCCCAGACUCCUACGGGAGGCAGCAGUGGGGAAUAGUGCGCAAUGGGCGGAAGCCUGACGCAGCGACGCCGCGUGGGGGAUGACGGCCUUCGGGUUGUAAACCUCUUUCAGCAGGGACGAAGCGCAAGUGACGGUACCUGCAGAAGAAGCACCGGCCAACUACGUG